AAGUCGUAACAAGGUUUUCGUAGGUGAACCUGCGGAAGGAUCAUUCUUGUAUACCUGGUUGGGCGUAAGCCUAGCCAAACCAUGUGUGAAUCUUUAUACUCACCCGGUGGGUGCGCUGUGCUGGGCCUUGCCUGGCUGGCGUCUCUGUCGGGAACCCUUCGCAAGAAGUGGUAAUCAUGUUAAUAGCAGGGAACUCAAAGGUAACAAAUACAACUUUUAACGAUGGAUCUCUUGGCUCUCA
rnacentral:misc_RNA from 1 species